rnacentral:rRNA from 1 species
UACGUAGGUGGCAAGCGUUGUCCGGAUUUAUUGGGCGUAAAGGGAGCGCAGGUGGUUUCUUAAGUCUGAUGUGAAAGCCCACGGCUUAACCGUGGAGGGUCAUUGGAAACUGGUCGACUUGAGUGCAGAAGAGGGAAGUGGAAUUCCAUGUGUAGCGGUGAGAUGCGUAGAGAUAUGUAGGAACACCAGUGGCGAAGGCGGGUCUCUGGGCAGUAACUGACGCUGAGGAGCGAAAGCAUGGGUAGCGAACAGGAUUAGAUA